rnacentral:rRNA from 1 species
UGGGGAAUAUUGGACAAUGGGCGGAAGCCUGAUCCAGCCAUGCCGCGUGUGUGAAGAAGGCCUUUUGGUUGUAAAGCACUUUAAGCGAGGAGGAGGCUACUAGUAUUAAUACUACUGGAUGGUGGACGUUACUCGCAGAAUAAGCACCGGCUAACUCUGUG